rnacentral:lncRNA from 1 species
AAAAAAAAAAAAUAUAAAAAAAUGUGAAAAUAAAAAAAUUAACGAAAAAAUAAAGAAAAUAAAGAAAAUCAUUUACUAAAAUAAAAUAAAGAAAAUAUUUGGUCAAAUAAUUAUUGCCGUAAGAAAAUCUUUUACUAUUAAUAUGAUGAAAGGUAAUCUAUAAAAAAUAUUAGGGUAAAUAUCAUAUUAAACCUUGAACUAUACCCGUUUUAUCAAAAAUACCCUGAAACUUUUGAAAUGCUUUCAAAACCCUCAAAGUAUCAGGGUUUUAUCAAAUAUACCCCGCAUCUCUUUUCCGGCCAUCAGAAAAGUGACGUNUAGUAGAAUUCCCGAUUAUCGCUCAGAAGAUUAGUUCAUGCAUAAAAGAUUCAUGCAUAGUUAAAUUACGCUUUCUCAUUAAUUGAGAAUUUUCCUCGAGCCAAUGUCUUAUUUUAUAUUCUCGUGAUUAAAGGUCAAGCGCGAGAGUAAGAACUACACAAGGAGUUAGAGUACCUUAACAAAACUUUGCUAUCAGGUGGGCAAUUUCUUACGCGUAAAUAAAAUGCUAUGCAAGUGUUAUACUUUAAAAUGCAAAUUGGAUCUUCAAGUGUGGUAUGCUUUAUUACGCUUAAAUGAGUUAAGCUUUAUUAUGUUGCACGUUAAAUGAUUUACGCUAUGAUGUUUAUACUAUUUACGCCCUAUGUAAUUUACGCUUGAUUACGCUUAUUUACGCUUGAAUGCUUUACGCUGAUAAAUUUAUGCUUAUGUUUGAUGCUUGCGUCUGUUGGGGGAGGCCUCCCUCAACAGUACGAUGCCGUGUCCGCUGAGGAGGGCCUUCCUCACGGCGCGAUGCCCGUGUCCGCUGAGGGAGGCCUCCCUCGCGGCGCGAUGCCUGUAUGCCAGUGUUCCAGCGUCCGUUGGGGGAAACCACCCUCGACGGUACGAUACUAGCGUCUAUUGGGGGAGGCCUCCCUCAAUAGUACGAUGCCGUGACCGUUGAGGGAGGCCCCUCUCACGGCACGAUGCCCGUGUUCAUUGGGGAAGGCCUUCUCCACGACACGAUGCUUGUUUAUGAUUGUUAAUGAUGAAGAAUGCGCUCAUGCUAUAUAUAUUUUUGGGAAAUGUUUAGCAAGCAAAGGAUUUGAAAGAAACUCAUGCCUCUUAUGCGAUAAUGUGGUUUAUUGAUGAUGUUAUGUUUAUGCUUUAGUUUCGGCAACUGCCCACUAAGUACUCUUGUACUUAGCCCUUCGUAUGUUUAUGUUUGUGCAGGUUGAGCUGUGAUGGGCGAUGAAGUGUUGCUGAGUGGAGUUUUUGUCGAACUUAAAGUAGGCUCAGAAAGGAUACAUGUCUUCAUACAUGUAUCUUAGUUAUGCUUUUCGCUGUAAACACUGAUUAUUUCAGUGACGCCUUCCGCUGCAAACGCUGAUUAUGUUUUAGUCAAGCCUCUAGCUAUGCCUUUUUCCUUUCAAGAAAUAUUUCACGCUUAUUCAAGUUCUUCAAGUACCCUUGUAUUAUGCGCCCUUUUUAACCCCGCUUCUUAAUUUCUCUUCCCCAGUCAUGCUUUUCCCGGCUUAAUUAUCCUUAAUUAAGGCCGGUUGUGAUAGGCAAGCUAUGGAUAGCUUGUUCUCCUUGAUUUUCUCGGAACCUACGCACAUUCUUUCAAGAAUGUCCCACAUCUCCUUUGCAGUUCCGCACUUGAUGAUCUUGGUGACAUGCUUGUCUGUAGGGGUGAGCAAAAUACCCGAAAUCCGAAUAUCCGAUCCGAUCCAAUCCGAAAUUUAAACUUUGGUUCGGAUUAAUCGGAUCUUUGGAUCGGAUCGGAUCGAAUUUUAAGAAAAAUUCGGAUAUUCGGAUCGGAUCGGAUCAGUACUUUUCAAAUCCGAACUAAUCCGAAAUCCGAAUUGUAUUUAAUAUAUAUCAAAAUAUAUAUAUAUAUAUAUAUAUAUAUAUAAAUUUUGAAUUAUUGAAUAUGUUAAAAAGUAAAACCUAAACCCUAAUUCCCUAAACUAAAUCAGCGCCGCACAGCCACAGCUCCACCACCGCGCCUUGUCUGACUCCCAUCGCUCUCCAGUCUCCACCACCGCGCGGUCCGCGCCGUCCCACCCCGCCUACUCUGCGCCUGCAAUCCCCCACCACGCCACCUCCGCGCUUGCAAUCCCCCAGAGCAGCUCGAAGCUCGAGUGCAGAGCGCCGCAGAUCUGCGCCUCUCUUCCCGACGGCCGACGCCCUCCACCUCUGACCUCAGAGUUUCAGACACCCUCCCCAGAGCACCUCAUCGGCGCGUCAUUCCUUCAGGCUGCAGGUAGGUUCGAUUUUAGUUUUUAGUGAACCUCAAGAAUGUUGAAAAUUGAUGCUUAAUUAUGACUUAUGACUUAUGAGUUAUGAUUGUGUUCGAAUUUUGUUGAUGUGUUCGAAUUUUUCAGCCUUAUGAAUUGGUGCAGUUGUUUCAAUUUUGUUCGAAUGAAUUGGUGCAGCCUUAUGAAUUGUGUUCGAAUUUUUC